AAAAUAUGAAAAUAUUGUUUUAAUGCAUAGUUGCAUGCUUCACUAACAUAUGAUGAAGGUCAAAGAGGUUUGGAACCAUUGUUGUCUCCGUUUUUCUAGAGAAUUGCGAUUUAUAGUGGUUAGUCCACCAAUUUAUGGAGUAUUAUAAAGUUUUACUAAAUUAAUUGACAAAAAAUUAAAACGAUGCUCAUGUACCAUAAAGAGAGUUUAAUAUACAUUAAUACAAAUGUAGAAUGUGUUUAGAAAUUUUAAAACAAUACUAAAGAUCAUAAGCUUUAGUAUAUAGACCAUUUACCGAAAAAUUCAAUAUUUUCGUAGGGGUUAACGCAUAGAUUUUGAGAAAAAUUUAAAAAUAUGAAAAUAACGUUUUAAUGCAUAGUUGCAUCCUUCACUAACCUAUGAUGAAGGUCAAAGAGGUUUGAAAUCAUUGUUGUCUCCGUUUUGUUUUUUAAAAAGCGAUUUUAUAGUGGUUAGUCCGACAAUUUAAGUAGUAUUAUGAAGUUGUACUAAAUUAAUUGACAAAACAUUAAAACGAUGCCCAUAUACCAUGAAAAAGAUUUUAAUAUAUAUUAAUACAAAUGAAGAAUGUGUUUAAAAUUUUUAAAACAACAUUAAAUAUCAUAGGCUUCAUUAUAUAGUAUUUACCGAAAAAAUUAACAUUUUCAUAGAGGUUAGCACAUAGAUUUUGAAAAAAAAUCAAAAAUAU